GUUCGUGUUCGACAAGAGCGCCAGAUUAAGGCAGACGUUCUCUGCAGCCUUCGACCAUGACCACCCUGAACAGAACGUUAGCAGAGAUCGACUUUCCAAAAAUCCAGUAAAGAAAGAUUUAUACCAGGGAUUCGGUGCCCGAAGAACUUGGUCCGUGGGAAGCGUCCCGGUCCUGCCGUAUGUAAAGUUCCUCCCCACCAGGAUCAUCAGCCUUUUCAUGUACUUCCUCCAGCUUGCUUCUGCAACAGUCACCGUAUGUUUCUCAGUAUAUCGACUUGCCGAGCACGGCUCCAAUUCCCAAGGACAAAACACUGAGCAAGCACUUACGGUGUUUUACGCGAUGAUGCUGGCAGAAGCGUCGCUAUUCCUCCUGGAGAGAGCGUAUUGGGAAUUCAAGCUUCGUUACCAGAGGUUGCUGGAAGUAGUCACUCGAAAGUGUGAGCUUGAUCAAGACGACAUUGAAACCAUGAAGCAGUACUGGUACACAUUGUACUCACGAUCGCUGAACGGAAGCGUGUUUGAUGGCCUGGGAAUGGACCUUAUCGAUUUCACCGUCGAGAAG
rnacentral:lncRNA from 1 species